rnacentral:rRNA from 1 species
UGCCAGCAGCCGCGGUAAUACGGAGGGGGUUAGCGUUGUUCGGAAUUACUGGGCGUAAAGCGCACGUAGGCGGAUUAGUAAGUUAGGGGUGAAAUCCCGGGGCUCAACCCCGGAACUGCCUCUAAUACUGCUAGUCUUGAGUUCGAGAGAGGUGAGUGGAAUUCCGAGUGCAGAGGUGAAAUUCGUAGAUAUCAGGAGGAAUACCGGUGGCGAAGGCGACCACCUGGACAAUGAUUGACGCUGAGGUGCGAAAGCGUGGGGAGCAAACAGGAUUAGAUA